GAUGAACGCUGGCGGCGUGCCUAAUACAUGCAAGUCGAGCGAACGGACGAGAAGCUUGCUUCUCUGAUGUUAGCGGCGGACGGGUGAGUAACACGUGGAUAACCUACCUAUAAGACUGGGAUAACUUCGGGAAACCGGAGCUAAUACCGGAUGAUAUUUUGAACCGCAUGGUUCAAAAGUGAAAGACGGUCUUGCUGUCACUUAUAGAUGGAUCCGCGCUGCAUUAGCUAGUUGGUAAGGUAACGGCUUACCAAGGCAACGAUGCAUAGCCGACCUGAGAGGGUGAUCGGCCACACUGGAACUGAGACACGGUCCAGACUCCUACGGGAGGCAGCAGUAAGGAAUCUUCCGCAAUGGGCGAAAGCCUGACGGAGCAACGCCGCGUGAGUGAUGAAGGUCUUCGGAUCGUAAAACUCUGUUAUUAGGGAGGAACAUAUGUGUAAGUAACUGUGCACAUCUUGACGGUACCUAAUCAGAAAGCCACGGCUAACUACGUG
rnacentral:rRNA from 1 species